AUUGAACGCUGGCGGAAUGCUUUACACAUGCAAGUCGAACGAUGAACCUUAGCUUGCUAAGGGGAUUAGUGGCGAACGGGUGAGUAAUGUAUCGGAACGUAUCCAAUAAUGGGGGAUAACUAGUCGAAAGAUUAGCUAAUACCGCAUACGUCCUACGGGAGAAAGCUAGGGACCUUCGGGCCUGGCGUUAAUGGAGCGGCCGAUAUCUGAUUAGCUAGUUGGGGGGGUAAAGGCCCACCAAGGCGACGAUCAGUAGCUGGUCUGAGAGGACGGCCAGCCACACUGGACCUGAGACACGGUCCAGACUCCUACGGGAGGCAGCAGUGGGGAAUUUUGGACAAUGGGCGAAAGCCUGAUCCAGCCAUGCCGAGUGAGUGAAGAGGGCCUUCGGGUUGUAAAGCUCUUUCGCAAGGGAAGAAAACUUAAGCUCUAACCUAGCUUGAGGUUUACGGUACCUUGAGAAGAAGCACCGGCUAACUACGUGCAAGCCGCCGCUGUAA
rnacentral:rRNA from 1 species